CUCUAAUAUUUUACGUGUCAAUUUCUCGUUAAUGGUGAUAUAUUUCCUGCGAACUAAAAAGGACGCAGAAAUAAGUGAUAAG
rnacentral:ribozyme from 1 species